rnacentral:rRNA from 1 species
GAGUGGUGGGUGGCUGCGUGCAGCCGCACAAAAUGUGUGCUUGCUGUGAACACUCCGCGUCGCAGUGUAUAUCCGCAGCGAUGUGUGUUUGGAGGAUGUCCGUGGCCGUUACCGUGAACAAAACAGCGUGUUCAAGGCAGGCGACUAUUUGUCAGUAUGCUGGAGCNNNNNNNNNNNNNNNNNNNNNNNNNNNNNNNNNNNNNNNNNGCUCUGCCAAUCUACCUGACACUGUGUGUGUUUACGUUCUUAGCAGCCCGUCCUGGGCAACACGGGGCCAUCCCAGGGCUUGCAACAGGUGUCUGCCGUCCACCGAUCUUUGCCGGCCACGUGUCGGCAGUCGGCUGCGUCGCUCUCACUCUGUGCAGUCCAUGUGGUUGGCUUUCUGAUCGGAACCGAGGGGACGGUUCAGUGCCGUACGUACUGUACCGCGAGGGGUGAAAUCCUUAGACCGGUGCAUGACGAACCGAGGCGAAGGCGUUCCUGGCAGGGACACGUCUGUCAAUCAAGAACGAGAGUUUGGGGAUCGAAGAUGAUCAGAUACCGCCGUAGUCCAAUGACCGUAAGCUGUGCCAGCUUGGUGUCAGGAGUGUGUUCCCAUCCAUUAUGGUACGUCUCUUCUGGCACCGUCCCCCCACAUCGAGAAAUCCAAAAGCGUGUGGGUUCAGGGGGGAGUACGACCGCAAGGCUGAAACUUAAAGGAAUUGACGGAAUGACACCACAAGACGUGGAGUUUGCGGCUUAAUUUGACUCAACACGGGGAACGUUACCGGGUCAGGACACAGCAAGGAUGGACAGAUUGAGGGCUCUUUCUUGAUCCUCUGGAGGGUGGUGCAUGGCCGUUCCUGGUUGGUGGAGUGAUUUGUCUGGUUGAUUCCGAUAACGAGCGAGAUCUCUGCCUUUCAAUAGUGAUGGGUCUCGUUUCUGUAGGAGGGUGCAAUGAGGUGGGACUUGCGCGGUGGGCUUGCCCAUGUACUCUGCGUUGA